rnacentral:tRNA from 1 species
UAGCUCAGUGGUAGAGCCCUUGCCUUGUAUGCAUGAGGCCCUGGGUUUGACCCCCAG